CUUGGUCCCUCUUGUCAAUGUCUUGGGGAAACACUGCGUCACGCUUCGCCGUUGCUGUUGCUGUUUCAAGGUCAAGUACAACUUAGGCGAGAAAGACGCUGAUGUCAAGCGAGGAGAGUGGAAAUACAGCCUGGUUUUCACAUCGUCAGGGCAAGGACAUUCUGUCCUUGGUCAGAGGCAAUUUCUGAAUUCGAAAAUUAUCUUGGCGAGAGCUGACAAACGGGGCGUGGUUGGUGUUGCCGUGGACGAACAGCACUGCAUAAUGUCUUGGGGCGGAGGGUUCAGAACCGGGGUCAAGACUCUCACACAGCUACUGAGGAGAAAAGGAUAGACAUCCUGUCAUCACUGUGUUAUGGAUUCCAACACAAUCACUGUUUCAGAGUCAUCCAAUCGGCCUAAUUGUACCUUCAAGUUAUGACAUUGAAAAGGAGUUCGGAUAGAUGCUUGUAGCAGAAAAAAAAUUGUCAAAAUAUUUCAGAGGGUCUGUCACAAGAAGAGACUUGUUGUGACUUAAGUGGAGAUUCUUCAACAUUACCUUAGAAUGAAUCACUGGACCAAGUCUCUUACAUCAGAACUCUAAGACGAACUAUUAAAAUUUAUAGCAAUUCGUCGUCUACAAAUCAGCUAUAUAUCAUGUU